rnacentral:tRNA from 1 species
GGGGUUGUAGCUCAGUUGGUAGAGCACUUGUAUGGCAUGCAAGGGGUCGUCGGUUCGAGUCCGAUCAGCUCCACCA